rnacentral:rRNA from 1 species
UACGAAGGGAGCUAGCGUUGUUCGGAAUCACUGGGCGUAAAGCGCACGUAGGCGGAUGUGUCAGUCAGGGGUGAAAUCCCGGAGCUCAACUUCGGAACUGCCUUUGAUACAGCACAUCUGGAGUCCGGAAGAGGUGGGUGGAAUUCCUAGUGUAGAGGUGAAAUUCGUAGAUAUUAGGAAGAACACCGGUGGCGAAGGCGGCCCACUGUCCGGUACUGACGCUGAGGUGCGAAAGCGUGGGGAGCAAACAGG